rnacentral:ncRNA from 1 species
CUUUGGCCGUAGUCAACUCUGCGCCAGCAGCCCGAAAGGGUCCGUGGUUGCCGUCGUUAAAUGCUAGUCCGCGUUCCGGCGCGGGCGAGACCUUCAAACUGCGGGGACCGCCUAAAACUCCAGCUACUAAGCCAUCGCUCGAAAGACGGUGGUGGCCAGGUUAAUUGCCUCGGGUACAGUCACAACGCUGGAGAUGUUACAAUGGCCAAUCCGCAUCCAAGCCCCUACGGCGCUCCGCCACGGGGAAGGUUCAGAGACUAGAUGGAGGUCGGUCCCGGGGCGCGGCCCCGGGGCUUAAGAUAUAGUCCGUCCCCCGUCGAGAGGCGGGG